rnacentral:rRNA from 1 species
UAGGGAAUCUUCCGCAAUGGACGCAAGUCUGACGGAGCAACGCUGCGUGAGUGAAGAAGGAUUUCGGUUCGUAAAACUCUGUUGUUAGAGAAGAACAGCGCAUAGAGUAACUGUUAUGCGUGUGACGGUAUCUAACCAGAAAGCCACGGCUAACUACGUGCCAGCAGCCGCGGUAAUACGUAGGUGGCAAGCGUUGUCCGGAUUUAUUGGGCGUAAAGCGAGCGCAGGCGGUCAAUUAAGUCUGAUGUGAAAGCCCCCGGCUCAACCGGGGAGGGUCAUUGGAAACUGGUUGACUUGAGUGCAGAAGAGGCGAGUGGAAUUCCAUGUGUAGCGGUGAAAUGCGUAGAUGUAUGGAGGAACGCCAGUGGCGAAGGCGACUCUCUGGUCUGUAACUGACGCUGAGGCUCAAAAGCGUGGGUAGCAAACAGG